AACGAACGCUGGCGGCGUGCCUAACACAUGCAAGUCGAACGAGAACGUUCCCUUCGGGGAGCUAGUACAGUGGCAGACGGGUGAGUAACACGUGGGCAACCUGCCCGAAGGUGGGGGAUAACCCUCCGAAAGGAGGGCUAAUACCGCAUGAUAUCCGAGAGGCUCCGGCCUCACGGAUCAAAGUUGGCCUCUACUUGUAAGCUAACGCCAUCGGAGGGGCUCGCGGCCCAUUAGCUUGAUGGUGAGGUAACGGCUCACCAUGGCUACGAUGAGUAGCCGGCCUGAGAGGGCGAUCGGCCACACUGGAACUGAGACACGGUCCAGACUCCUACGGGAGGCAGCAGUGAGGAAUUUUGCGCAAUGGGGGAAACCCUGACGCAGCGACGCCGCGUGGAGGACGAAGGCCUUCGGGUCGUAAACUCCUGUCAAGAGGGACGAAUGUCACGAGGAUGAAUAAGCCCCGUGAUUGACGGUACCUCUGGAGGAAGCCCCGGCUAACUCCGUG
rnacentral:rRNA from 1 species